GCCAGUGUAGCUCAGUGGUAGAGCACUUGCAUAGAAAGCACGCGGCCAUGGGUUCAAUCCCCAGCACUGCA
rnacentral:tRNA from 1 species